rnacentral:rRNA from 1 species
UACGUAGGGUGCAAGCGUUGUCCGGAAUUAUUGGGCGUAAAGAGCUCGUAGGCGGCUUGUCGCGUCGAAUGUGAAAACCCACGGCUCAACUGUGGGCUUGCAUUCGAUACGGGCAGGCUAGAGUUCGGUAGGGGAGACUGGAAUUCCCGGUGUAGCGGUGAAAUGCGCAGAUAUCGGGAAGAACACCCGUGGCGAAGGCGGCUCUCUGGGACGGUACUGACGCUGAGACGCGAAAGCGUGGGGAGCGAACAGG